rnacentral:rRNA from 1 species
UACGUAGGGUGCAAGCGUUGUCCGGAAUUAUUGGGCGUAAAGAGCUCGUAGGCGGUUAGUCGCGUCUGCUGUGAAAACUCGGGGCUUAACUCCGGGCCUGCAUUCGAUACGGGCAGACUAGAGUGUGGUAGGGGAGAUCGGAAUUCCUGGUGUAGCGGUGAAAUGCGCAGAUAUCAGGAGGAACACCGGUGGCGAAGGCGGAUCUCUGGGCCAUUACUGACGCUGAGGAGCGAAAGCGUGGGGAGCGAACAGG